rfam:Ictidomys tridecemlineatus contig047160, whole genome shotgun sequence.
GGGGUUGUGGCUCAGUGGUAGAGCACUUGCCUCACACUUGCAAGGCCCUGGGUUCCAUCCUCAGCACCA